GCAGUCGAACGGCAGCAUGAUCUAGCUUGCUAGAUUGAUGGCGAGUGGCGAACGGGUGAGUAAUACAUCGGAACGUGCCCUGUAGUGGGGGAUAACUAGUCGAACGAUUAGCUAAUACCGCAUACGACCUGAGGGUGAAAGUGGGGGACCGCAAGGCCUCAUGCUAUAGGAGCGGCCGAUGUCUGAUUAGCUAGUUGGUGAGGUAAAGGCUCACCAAGGCGACGAUCAGUAGCUGGUCUGAGAGGACGAUCAGCCACACUGGGACUGAGACACGGCCCAGACUCCUACGGGAGGCAGCAGUGGGGAAUUUUGGACAAUGGGGGCAACCCUGAUCCAGCAAUGCCGCGUGUGUGAAGAAGGCCUUCGGGUUGUAAAGCACUUUUGUCCGGAAAGAAAUCGCACUUACUAAUAUUAGGUGUGGAUGACGGUACCGGAAGAAUAAGGACCGGCUAACUACGUGCCAGCAGCCGCGGUAAUACGUAGGGUCCAAGCGUUAAUCGGAAUUACUGGGCGUAAAGCGUGCGCAGGCGGUUGUGCAAGACCGAUGUGAAAUCCCCGGGCUUAACCUGGGAAUUGCAUUGGUGACUGCACGGCUAGAGUGUGUCAGAGGGGGGUAGAAUUCCACGUGUAGCAGUGAAAUGCGUAGAGAUGUGGAGGAAUACCGAUGGCGAAGGCAGCCCCCUGGGAUAACACUGACGCUCAUGCACGAAAGCGUGGGGAGCAAACAGGAUUAGAUACCCUGGUAGUCCACGCCCUAAACGAUGUCAACUAGUUGUUGGGGAUUCAUUUCCUUAGUAACGUAGCUAACGCGUGAAGUUGACCGCCUGGGGAGUACGGUCGCAAGAUUAAAACUCAAAGGAAUUGACGGGGACCCGCACAAGCGGUGGAUGAUGUGGAUUAAUUCGAUGCAACGCGAAAAACCUUACCUACCCUUGACAUGCCACUAACGAAGCAGAGAUGCAUUAGGUGCUCGAAAGAGAAAGUGGACACAGGUGCUGCAUGGCUGUCGUCAGCUCGUGUCGUGAGAUGUUGGGUUAAGUCCCGCAACGAGCGCAACCCUUGUCUCUAGUUGCUACGAAAGGGCACUCUAGAGAGACUGCCGGUGACAAACCGGAGGAAGGUGGGGAUGACGUCAAGUCCUCAUGGCCCUUAUGGGUAGGGCUUCACACGUCAUACAAUGGUGCAUACAGAGGGUUGCCAAGCCGCGAGGUGGAGCUAAUCCCAGAAAAUGCAUCGUAGUCCGGAUCGUAGUCUGCAACUCGACUACGGAAGCUGGAAUCG
rnacentral:rRNA from 1 species